rnacentral:rRNA from 1 species
GUGCCAGCCGCCGCGGUAAUACGGAGGGUGCAAGCGUUAUCCGGAUUCACUGGGUUUAAAGGGUGCGUAGGUGGGCUGAUAAGUCAGCGGUGAAAUCCCCGAGCUUAACUUGGGAACUGCCAUUGAUACUAUCGGUCUUGAAUCUCGCGUAGGUAAGCGGAAUAUGUCAUGUAGCGGUGAAAUGCUUAGAUAUGACAUAGAACACCAAUUGCGAAGGCAGCUUACUUCACGAGUAUUGACACUGAGGCACGAAAGCGUGGGGAGCAAACAGGAUUAGAUACCCUGGUAGUCCACGCCCUAAACGAUGGAUACUCGACAUUAGCGAUACACAGUUAGUGUCUGAGCGAAAGCAUUAAGUAUCCCACCUGGGAAGUACGACCGCAAGGUUGAAACUCAAAGGAAUUGACGG